UGGGGUUACUAUUGCACUUUUAUUUUUAAAUACAUACACUCUGAAACAAGCCACAGUUGACAUCAGUGAGCUACUGCCGUCAAUAAGCCUCCAUUCUUAUCCCCUUACUAACACAUCCUCUGGCUGCUUCUGCUAGAAACAUCACAUGACCUGAUGAACUGAACGUAUAAUAUCUGUAUUUACUGAAAACAUCCCUACAGUACAUUUGUAUGCAAAGCUAUAUUCAGGAGUGUAAGAUGGUUCAAAGGUCCACGUCUUGGUCGCUAGGCUGCUGCAGCUGAGACAGAGACAGAGCAGGUGUCAGGACUCAGGGCUUUGAGACCGUGUUAAGGCUUUGAGAGGGUAACAGUGUUAAGGCUUUGAGACUGUAACAGUGUUAAGGCUUUGGGACUGUAACAGUGUUAAGGCUUUGAGAGGGUAACAGUGUUAAGGCUUUGGGACUGUAACAGCGUUAAGGCUUUGGGGCUGUAACAGUGUUAAGGCUGAGACUGUUACAGUGUUAAGGCUUUGGGACUGUAACAGUGUUAAGGCUUUGAGAGGGUAACAGCGUUAAGGCUUUGGUACUGUAACAGUGUUCAGGCAGCAGUAACACGGGGGCGAGGAUGGACUCACCAUGGCGUACAGGGGGCUGGAGUUGAUGAGGAACUGCAGCAGGACCAUGGUGAGCUCCUGCAGGUCCACCAGGACCUCGGUGGCCCUGUGGGGCAGACCCCGGAGCUGGCCCACCAGGUCCAGCUCGGCCAGCAGGCCGGCCUGGGCCCGGACCUGGGUCAGGGCCAGGCCCCGCAGGGCCCCCGUCUGCAGCGCCAGCGCCGACAGGAACAGCUGCAGCUGACGGAGCUGCAAGCCCAUCAUGUCCACCACCCGGCCCAGACCCACCUAGAGGACCACCAGUACAGAACCAGUACAUCAGUACUCACACCAGUACAGGCCCAGUACAUCAGUACUGACAAUGAU
ensembl:lncRNA